AUGGCUUCACCAAACCUGAAAUCCCACUUUCACGCUCGCUCGGUGAGCUUGCCUUUGAAGCCAAACCGGCUCAUUCCUCAAGCAGAGGAGCACUUGAGGAGGAUCAGGAGCUCAGAAGCCACCACAUGUUCAUUUUCAUUGGUGAGCAACACGAUAAGCAGUGUCGUGGACUUCUAUGACUCUGUCGAAGACUUGCUUCUCUUUUCAGAUACCCAACAUGCCUUAGUUCAAGAGGGCCACGAUGAGGUGCUCGAGAGAUCCCUCAGUCUCCUGGACUUGUGCUGUGCCGUAAAAGAUGUCAUAGCACAGACGAAGGAAAACAUGCAGGAACUACAAUCCACAUUGUGUAGGAGACGGGGCGAUGACCUGGCACUGAGAAACUGGGUCGAGACAUACUUGACCUUAAGGAAGAAAGCAAAGAAGACAAUUCAAAGCUGCUUGAAAAAUCUAAAGAUCAAAUCCACCUUUUCUUCUGCGGAUCGAAGCAGUAUGACAACAGUUUCCAUGUUAAGAGAAGUGGAGGAAGUCGCUCUCAGCUGCUCUUUCUUUGGCAAGUUGAUGCAUUCCAAGCGAGUGGCAGCUGAUGAGAGGGCAUCUAACGGUGAGCUGGAGGAGGUGGAUUCAGCCGUUCACACCCUGCUAAGCCACAAAAAUGGAAAACCCAUCCAAAUGGAAUACUUGCAGAAAAUACUGGGAGAGGUCGAGUCCAGCAUUCAGGACCUCGAAGAAGAAGUCGAGCGCCUGAUCAGGCACCUGAUCAAAACCCGAGUGUCCCUCCUCAAUAUCCUCAACCACUAG